rnacentral:lncRNA from 1 species
GAGCUUAAAGCCAAGGAUCCAGACUGUGUCUGAAUUUGUCUAAAAUGUGUCAAAAAGAAGAAAUUUGAAAUCUAUUCGCUUUGAUGACAGUCUGGAAAACUUUGUGUGUGUCCAUCAUGUAAUUUUGCAAAUGUCCCUUUUGGACUUUUUUUUAAUUGUUCAGAGCUGUAGUGUUUUCACAACUCACUGAAUCACUCGGUGAAUCAUUUAGAGUAAUUUUUGUGUUCACAGCUGACUCCCUCGAUGAAUCAUUUUUAGUUAUCUCUGACUGUAAAUAAACCAGGAACCAUUAUUUAGUAAAAAAAAAAAACAAAACACACAAGUUUGCAUAAGUUCUGAAUUAAAUUAUAUUAA